GACGAACCGUGCGAACGUUGUUCGGAAUCACUGGGCUUAAAGGGCGCGUAGGCGGGCCCGUCAGUCAGGGGUGAAAUCCCACGGCCCAACCGUGGAAGUGCCUCUGAUACUGCGGGCCUCGAGGGGGAUAGGGGCGUGCGGAACUCAGGGUGGAGCGGUGAAAUGCGUAGAUAUCCUGAGGAACACCGGUGGCGAAAGCGGCGCGCUGGAUCCCUUCUGACGCUGAGGCGCGAAAGCCAGGGGAGCAAACGGG
rnacentral:rRNA from 1 species